rnacentral:rRNA from 1 species
AGUGAACGCUGGCGGUAGGCCUAACACAUGCAAGUCGAACGGCAGCACAGUAAGAGCUUGCUCUUACGGGUGGCGAGUGGCGGACGGGUGAGGAAUACAUCGGAAUCUACUUUUUCGUGGGGGAUAACGUAGGGAAACUUACGCUAAUACCGCAUACGACCUACGGGUGAAAGCAGGGGAUCUUCGGACCUUGCGCGAUUGAAUGAGCCGAUGUCGGAUUAGCUAGUUGGCGGGGUAAAGGCCCACCAAGGCGACGAUCCGUAGCUGGUCUGAGAGGAUGGUCGGCCACACUGGAACUGGGACACGGUCCAUGCUCCUACGGGAGGCAGCAGUGGGGAAUGUUGGACAAUGGGCGCAAGCCUGAUCCAGUCAUACCGCGUGGGUGAAGAAGGCCUUCGGGUUGUAAAGCCCUUUUGUUGGGAAAGAAAAGCAGCAGGUUAAUACCCCGCUGUUCUGACGGUACCCAAAGAAUAAGCACCGGCUAACUUCGUG